rnacentral:piRNA from 1 species
UAUUUGUCCUAUGUUAGGUUCUUGCAAGUC